UGAAACGCUGGCGGCAUGCUUUACAACAUGCAAGUCGAACGGUAAACGGGCCCUUCGGGUGCCGACGAGUGGCGAACGGGUGAGUAAUAUAUCGGAAACGUACCCAAGAGUGGGGGACAACCAGUCGAAAGAUUGGCUAAUACCGCAUACGAUCUAUGGAUGAAAGUGGGGGACCUUCGGGCCUCAUGCUCCUGGAGCGGCCGAUAUCUGAUUAGCUAGUUGGUGGGGUAAUGGCCUACCAAGGCAACGAUCAGUAGCUGGUCUGAGAGGACGAUCAGCCACACUGGAACUGAGACACGGUCCAGACUCCUACGGGAGGCAGCAGUGGGGAAUUUUGGACAAUGGGGGCAACCCUGAUCCAGCAAUGCCGCGUGAGUGAAGAAGGCCUUCGGGUUGUAAAGCUCUUUUGUCAGGGAAGAAAUAGCCUGGGCUAAUAUCCUGGGUUGAUGACGGUACCUGAAGAAUAAGCACCGGCUAACUACGUGCCAGCAGCCGCGGGUAAUACGUAGGGUGCGAGCGUUAAUCGGAAUUACUGGGCGUAAAGCGUGCGCAGGCGGUUGUGUAAGACAGAUGUGAAAUCCCCGGGCUUAACCUGGGCACUGCAUUUGUGACUGCACGGCUAGUAGGUGUGUCAGAGGGGGGGUAGAAUUCCACGUGUAGCAGUGAAAUGCGUAGAUAUGUGGAGGAAUACCGAUGGCGAAGGCAGCCCCCCUGGGAUAAACACUGACGCUCAUGCACGAAAGCGUGGGGGAGCAAACAGGAUUAGAUACCCUGGUAGUCCACGCCCCUAAACGAUGUCUACUAGUUGUCGGGUCUUAAUUGACUUGGUAACGCAGCUAACGCGUGAAGUAGACCGCCUGGGGAGUACGGUCGCAAGAUUAAAACUCAAAGGAAUUGACGGGGACCCGCACAAGCGGUGGAUGAUGUGGAUUAAUUCGAUGCAACGCGAAAAAACCUUACCUACCCUUGACAUGUCAGGAACCCUGGAGAGAUCUUGGGGGGUGCUCGAAAGAGAACCUGAACACAGGUGCUGCAUGGCUGUCGUCAGCUCGUGUCGUGAGAUGUUGGGUUAAGUCCCGCAACGAGCGCAACCCUUGUCAUUAGUUUGCUACGAAAGGGGCACUCUAAUGAGACUUGCCGGUGACAAACCGGAGGAAGGUGGGGAUGACGUCAAGUCCUCAUGGCCCUUAUGGGUAGGGGCUUCACACGUCAUACAAUGGUCGGUACAGAGGGCUGCCAAGUCGUGAGACGGAGCAAAUCCCAGAAAGCCGAUCGUAGUCCGGAUUGAAGUCUGCAAACUCGACUUCAUGAAGUUGGAAAUCGCUAGUAAUCGCGGAAUCAGCAUGCCGCGGUGAAUACGUUUCCCGGGUCUUGUACACACCGCCCGUCACACCAUGGGAGCGGGUUUUUACCAGAAGUAGGUAGCUUAACCGUAAGGAGGGGCGCUUACCACGGUAGGAUUCGUGACUGGGGGU
rnacentral:rRNA from 1 species